UGGAAACUCCGAAAACGGAGACAUGCACACCGUCAUGGAGAACUUCCAGAAGAAGAACAACCUGGUGACCGGCAGGACACACGUCACUCAUCAUCCGCAGGUCACUACGUCGUCGCAGAUGCUGACGACGAAUCAGAGUCAGAGCAGUAGCAGCAGCAGCAGCAGCAGCACCAGCACCAGCACCAGCAGCUCGAGCAGGGUGGCCAAGUCCUCGCAGAGGAUCCUCACCUCGUCCUCGUCGAGUGAGAUGAAAGCGAGCUCCAUGAAGAGCGACCUGACCGAACUCAAGCGUGGCAUCUCCGAGAUGAAGAACAUGUCCACCAACUUCUCGCAGCGGUUGCGCAGCAGCAUGGAGAACCUUGUAGACAGAGACGGCAAUGUGCCCGAGGAAAGAGACUUGACGGAGCCGCUGGUGACGUUUCCAGACCCGGACACUCCUCCGCCCGUCAGCGACGCUGUCACGUUGACAGGCGGUUCCCCGUCACAGUUGAGCACGUUGAAUUCCCUGAACAAUCUUCACGGCAUGAGUCCGCCGAUCAACAUAUCGAAUAUACCGAACAUGGCGAAUUUACCUGCUGGUCAGGAAACGAUGAAGUUCGAACAGAAGAAGAUGACUAGUGCCUCCAAGACGAAGGUGGUCACGGAUGGAUUUAGCGCCGAGAAGGCGACAGCGAACAGCGCCGAGAUGAGAGCCCUUCAAGCUGGCGACGUGUCAUACAAAGAACAGAGCGCCGCGACGGCGGCGAGGGCGCGCGUCGAGCUAGACGGCGUUUCUGCGGAGAAGAGCGUCGCUUCCGCGAGGGAGCAGAGAAGCCUGAAAGCUGGCGACCUGUCGCAUCAGGAGAGCAAUAACAUGGCAGCGUCUACCAUGAAGCUGCAGAGCGACUCGUUCAGCUCGGAGAAGAAAGCGAUGGCGGCGCAGCAACAACGGCAGACGGUCACGUCGACCGGCAUCUUCAAUCACGAGAAGCACAUAGCUGCCAGUUCACAGUCGAGCAUCACAAUCGCGUCCAAGGGCGUCACCUCCAAGUCGUCGAUGAUCAGCGCCGCGAGCGCGGUGAAUCAGCUGAUGAACGGCAUACGGCCGGCCGAGGACGAGCUGCUGUCGUUGCCGUUGGACGACCUCGACCUGCUGUGCUCCAAGUCGAAUCCGCAGGACGUUGAUCGCGCGAUUUCCAAAUACUGCGGCUUCCUCGACAGCUUCGUGGAGAGGCUGAAGGCGAACGACGGCAGGAGCGGCAAGGCGCCGCUCUUGCUGAACAGAGUGAACGAGAUCAUCAGGAAGGCCUGGGCGGUGCCGACUCACGGCCACGAGCUCGGUUAUACCUUGUGCAACACUCUGAGGACCCGCGGCGGUCUCGAUAUCCUCAUGUCCAACUGCGUGGCGAACGAUCACGAGCUGCAGUUCUCGUCGGCGAGGCUGCUGGAACAGUGCCUGACCACGGAGAAUCGCGCUCACGUGGUGGAGAACGGCCUGGAGAAGGUGGUAAACGUGGCGUGCGUGUGCACGAAGAACGCCAACUCGGUGGACCACUCGCGCGUCGGCACCGGUAUCCUCGAACACUUGUUCAAGCACAGCGAGGGCACAUGUAGCGACGUGAUCCGGCUAGGCGGGCUCGAUGCGGUGCUGUUCGAGUGCCGAAAGAACGACGUAGAGACGCUGCGACAUUGCGCGGGCGCCCUGGCGAAUCUGUCGCUGUACGGCGGCGCCGAGAACCAAGAGGCGAUGAUCAAGCGGAAGGUGCCCAUGUGGCUGUUCCCGCUGGCCUUCCACAACGACGACAACAUCAAGUACUACGCCUGCCUGGCGAUCGCCGUGCUGGUCGCCAACAAGGAGAUCGAGGCGGCUGUGCUCAAGUCCGGCACCCUCGAUCUCGUCGAGCCUUUCGUCACGUCGCACAACCCUUACGAGUUCGCCAAGUCGAACCUCGCUCACGCUCACGGCCAGAGCAAGAACUGGCUGGAGCGAUUGGUGCCGGUAUUGAGCUCGAAGCGAGAGGAAGCGAGGAACCUGGCGGCAUUUCACUUCUGCAUGGAGGCUGGCAUUAAGCAGCGGCAGGGUAACACGGAGAUCUUCCGGGAGAUCGGCGCGAUCGAGCCCUUGAAGAAAGUCGCCAGCUGUCCCAACGCGAUCGCUUCCAAGUACGCGGCGCAGGCUCUGAGGUUGAUCGGCGAGGAGAUCCCUCACAAGCUCAGCCAGCAGGUGCCUCUGUGGUCGACCGAGGAUGUCAGAGAGUGGGUGAAACAAAUCGGCUUCGCCGAGUGCGCGGUCAACUUUGCCGAGAGCCGCGUCGACGGCGAUCUGCUGCUGCAGCUGACCGAGGAGAACCUGCGCGAGGAUAUCGGCCUGACCAACGGUAUCAUGCGUCGGCGAUUCGCCCGUGAGCUGCAGAACCUGAAGAAGAUGGCCGACUAUAGCAGCCGCGACACCGGUAAUCUCAACAGUUUUCUACAGUCGAUCGGCCAGGAGUUCUCCAUCUACACGUACGGCAUGCUGAACGCCGGCGUGGACAAGGAGUCGAUACGCAACCUGUCGGAGGAUCAGCUGCUGGCCGAAUGCGGCAUCACCAACAGCAUACACCGUCUCAGGAUACUGAACGCAAUCAAGAACAUGCAGCACAAUCAGUUUAGCUCGUGCGAGUACGAGUCUCCCGACAAGUGCCUCGACGUGUUCGUUAGCUAUCGCAGGUCCAACGGCUCGCAGCUCGCGAGUCUGUUGAAGGUACACCUGCAGCUACGCGGCUUCUCCGUGUUUAUCGACGUAGAGCGACUCGAGGCCGGCAAAUUCGACAACAAUCUGCUGCAGAGCAUCAAGCAGGCGAAACACUUUUUGCUGGUGCUCACGCCCCAAGCCCUAGAGAGAUGCGUACAGGACAGCGAGUGCAAGGACUGGGUACACAGAGAAAUCGUGGCUGCGUUGCAAUCGGACUGCAACAUAAUCCCCAUCAUCGACCAGUGCUUCCAAUGGCCAGAACCCGAGGAACUUCCCGAGGAUAUGCGAGCGGUCUGUCACUUCAACGGUGUUCGUUGGAUUCAUGACUAUCAGGAUGCCUGCGUAGACAAAUUGGAAAGGUUUAUGCGAGGCGAGUUACCCAUGAGACCCGACCUGUCCGGCGGAAUACCGCGCAGCAUGGCGCCCAAGGACGUGACUACGCCAAGCACACCGGGCAACACGAAUAUGCGACAACCGCCGAGCUAUCAGCGGAUGCACAGCAACGAGAGCAGGAGCAGCGACAAGGAUUCCACGGGUGGGCGAGACUGACUAGAGGGCCCGCCCACAGCCAUACCGAGCAGCCAAGAUUGCGAAUCGUGCUAAGACAAUCGCGACUAGGCUUAGAAAAUCGUCGAGUCCGUUCCGUUGGUUGAUGGGUCUGCCGCCAGCGUCUCCUCGCUUCAAAUUCGUACACGCGCAUCCUGGUGACGGCAGCGGUAGUCCAGCGGUGCCUCGCAGACCGCCACGGCAGCAA